UCAGACAUGUGCGCGGUCAGUGCAGAGUUUGGGUCCCUUCAUUUCUUCGGCCUCUUUAAAAGACGACAUUUUCCUUUUGUUUGCAUCCAGCCGUUUAAUCCCCCUGCUAAUUUAGCUCAUUCGACCCACUGGGAACCGGGGACUCUUAAAGCAAAUGCAUCAACUCUGCCGAGUUGCAGUUGCCAGCCUCUGUCAAGUAAUUACGGGCUGUUCCAGUGGAGUGAGAAAUUUCAGCCUACUUGCUUUUCCCAGGUGGUCCACUUGUUAGGUUCUGGCUUUCGAGAUUACAUGCCUUGGAUUAAAUUUUAUGUACUUUUAUGUAGUAAAAUAAAAAGAGGAGCGCACUUCCAUUUCAGCGCCUGCCCCAACGGGGAACGCUCUAGACGGGCAGUAUAAAUUCCAGAUUGGUUCAGCGAGGAUCGUUCGCCCGGGCCUCCUCCCGCCGCUUAAACGGGGCGAUCCACACGCCUCUCACGUCGUGCACGCCGACCAACUGUUGCCCCAUUUUUUUUAAUUUUUUUUUUUUUUAUGGCUGUAAUUUGCUAACGCAAUCAGCACUUAACGACGAGACUAAAUUUUUAGAGCACCUUAUUUAAGUGUACGGCGUGGGUUUCUAUGCCGCGUGCAAUUUGCUGCUCUGCUAAUUUUUAGAUACGUUCCUUAUUUAAUCAUAUGUCUUGCACAUUAAACAGUGGGUCCCCGUGUCUCUUUAGCAGAUUGAAAUCUAAGGGGGAAAUUAUUCUCCCCCUCCAGGCGUAAGCGUUGGAAGUCCUCAGGAGCAAUAAAGGGAAUUGUGCGCGGGGACAAUAUAGCCAUCCGCAGGUUUCUAGUCGUGUCAGCUCCAUCCAGGAAGCUCUUUGGCUGAUUUACUUUACGUACUAUUAGAGAUGUUCUCUCAAGCUCGGCCACACGGUGAUGGACGCAAACCGCGCUGGCGCAGCGUCUGCUGCGUGACACGGAGCAGGUUUAUGACCUCGAUACAACCUCCCUGCGUCUCAGAACGGUUUGUUGGAAGCUAUUUUACGCAGAUCGAUAUGGUUUAAAGUAUGCAGUGGAGUGAUUUAGGUUUGGCAUACCCAGUUUAAGACCGCUGAAGAAUGAGUCUAUGGGCUAAUGUAGACGAGUAACAGGUUGAUG